CCUACGGGUGGCAGCAGUGAGGAAUAUUGGUCAAUGGACGAGAGUCUGAACCAGCCAAGUAGCGUGAAGGAUGACUGCCCUAUGGGUUGUAAACUUCUUUUAUAUGGGAAUAAAAUGUUCCACGUGUGGGAUUUUGUAUGUACCAUAUGAAUAAGGAUCGGCUAACUCCUUGCCAGCAGCCGCGGUAAUACGGAGGAUCCGAGCGUUAUCCGGAUUUAUUGGGUUUAAAGGGAGCGUAGGUGGAUUGUUAAGUCAGUUGUGAAAGUUUGCGGCUCAACCGUAAAAUUGCAGUUGAAACUGGCAGUCUUGAGUACAGUAGAGGUGGGCGGAAUUCGUGGUGUAGCGGUGAAAUGCUUAGAUAUCACGAAGAACUCCGAUUGCGAAGGCAGCUCACUGGACUGCAACUGACACUGAGGUUCGAAAGCGUGGGUAGCAAACAGGAUUAGAUACCCCUGUAGUC
rnacentral:rRNA from 1 species